GUCGAUGCUAUCUUUGGCUGUGUCCACGUCAGCACCGCAAGACAGUGCCCGUUUUCUGGGUACUCUGUGUCGGCAUUUUGUUGACUCUCCUUUGCUGACUGCCAGUUGAGAUCCAGCGUUCAACACGGGAGAGCCGGGUGACCUGAGUGUCGAGGUGUCGCCAUCGGGGACGAGUUCUGAAUCCUGCCGUCGCUGAGCUGGAAGUACGGCGACGUCAAGUUCUCUUGAACGUAACGCCCUGUCUCCAGAAAACCAUGGUGCAGAAGCUUAGCAUAGGAAGCCGUUCAUCAGCAGCUUCGUGCGUUUCCGGAUGGAAUAGCACCACCUAUAACAAUCAAGAAGAUCCUACUCUAUACCCAAUAAUAACCCAUCCACUGACUACACUUCCCGACGGAAAACCUCUUCUGUUGCCGAUAGGGGAUGGAGAACCCAUUGAAACCGCCGGGACCUGAAACGACUGGACAUCCUGUUCUGGUCCCCGUCUCGGGUUAACACAUGACAUUUGCUAAGCAAGCUACUGUCGUUGGACUCUACCAGUUUCGUUCAAAAACAGCCAUGUCACGAACGAGUGACAGGACAUCCAGCUCUUCCCCGUUCUCAGUUUCUGAUGCGAGACACAAACGAUUUAUGUGCCCGCCUGGGGAUUAUAAUUCAAGCAGAAAACAGAUGGGAGCCUUAACAAGAAGAACUCUUGGAAGAGCCUCGCGUGUUCUGGGUCGGGGAAACGCGCAAACCUCCCGGCACUGGCCGAGGUGGCACCGAAGCGAGGGAUACACUUUGGGGUUCAAUUGCACGUCCUGGACAGGGUGAGUUCAGCACCUUUACCGUCGUGGUUCCCCUCCUUGCCGUCGCGUGAACCGGCUCAGAAAGGCCAUGAUUGUGCUGCGGGUUCACCCUGAUCUGGAGAAACAGGUGAAUCAUGAGAAACAGUCUGUCUCACCCGUGAAGCCGUCCGGG
rnacentral:lncRNA from 1 species